UACCGAGUGCGGGCCCUCUGGGUCCAACCUCCCAUCCGUGUCUAUCUGUACCCUGUUGCUUCGGCGUGGCCACGGCCCGCCGGAGACUAACAUUUGAACGCUGUCUGAAGUUUGCAGUCUGAGUUUUUAGUUAAACAAUCGUUAAAACUUUCAACAACGGAUCUCUUGGUUCCGGCAUCGAUGAAGAACGCAGCGAAAUGCGAUAAUUAAUGUGAAUUGCAGAAUUCAGUGAAUCAUCGAGUCUUUGAACGCACAUUGCGCCCCCUGGUAUUCCGGGGGGCAUGCCUGUCCGAGCGUCAUUGCUGCCCUCAAGCACGGCUUGUGUGUUGGGCUUCCGUCCCUGGCAACGGGGACGGGCCCAAAAGGCAGUGGCGGCACCAUGUCUGGUCCUCGAGCGUAUGGGGCUUUGUCACCCGCUCCCGUAGGUCCAGCUGGCAGCUAGCCUCGCAACCAAUCUUUUUAACCAGGUUGACCUCGGAUCAGGUAGGGAUACCCGCUGAACUUAAGCAUAUCAAUAAGCGGAGGAAAAGAAACCAACCGGGAUUGCCUCAGUAACGGCGAGUGAAGCGGCAAGAGCUCAAAUUUGAAAUCUGGCCCCUCCGGGGUCCGAGUUGUAAUUUGUAGAGGAUGCUUCGGGUGCGGCCCCCGUCUAAGUGCCCUGGAACGGGCCAUCGGAGAGGGUGAGAAUCCCGUCUGGGACGGGGUGUCCGCGUCCAUGUGAAGCUCCUUCGACGAGUCGAGUUGUUUGGGAAUGCAGCUCUAAAUGGGUGGUAAAUUUCAUCUAAAGCUAAAUACUGGCCGGAGACCGAUAGCGCACAAGUAGAGUGAUCGAAAGAUGAAAAGCACUUUGAAAAGAGAGUUAAACAGCACGUGAAAUUGUUGAAAGGGAAGCGCUUGCGACCAGACUCGCUUCCGGGGUUCAGCCGGCUUUCGGGCCGGUGUACUUCCCCGGGGGCGGGCCAGCGUCGGUUUGGGCGGCCGGUCAAAGGCCCCUGGAAUGUAACGCCUCUCGGGGCGCCUUAUAGCCAGGGGUGUCAUGCGGCCAGCCUGGACCGAGGAACGCGCU
rnacentral:sRNA from 2 species